rnacentral:lncRNA from 1 species
UAUCUGUGAUGUAGUUUUGUGCAAAUAUUUUUGCUAGAUGGAUUUUAAAAACCUAAAGCUGUUUUAAAGUGGAUAUUUCAGGGGCAAACUGGUUUGACUAUGCCCCAUAAAUCAUUAGAUAGGGCUUGCUCCUACUUGUACAGGAUACAAUUAAGUUUGAUUUCAACAGUUCAACUGUCUUUUUAGUGCUAGAGACACUUUUUGAGUAAGCAUUCUCUCCUCUUUUUUUCCUCUGAAUUUUGCAAGUUGGGAACAAACUCUAACUCCUGGCUUAUUAUUAAUACUAUUGGAAUCUGUUCCCAUCUAUGUGCCGGCAAAUAAUAAUUCUUUCUAAGGCAGGAUGUAGUUUUACAAUGCAUGGUUUAAAACACUUUUACUGAUGUUACUGUUUAUUACUGUUUAUUACAGUAGAAAGCCCUUUCCUACUAUAGGGCUCUCUGUGGCCCUCCUCCUAUCAUUACCUAUUGAAGUCUCCUUUUUCCCACUCCUCUCCAGGAAUACAGAUUUAAGAACGAUCCAUGCUCCACUACAGAUAUUUCCAAAACACAAUUGGUAUUAACCCAGGCUGGACACAUUUUAUCAGUCAUUUCUAUAAUUACUUAUUUUAAAAAAUGGUAUACAUGGUUGCUGUAUCGUAUGGAGUGUGAGAAGCUAUCUUAUCAUGGUACUAUUCAUCCUGGUUGAAAGGAUGUUGGUUUUUUCCCCCCUAACAUCUCACUCUCAGGAUUUCUCUGGACCAGGAAUCCACCCCCUCUUUCCCAUUCUCUAGUGUGGCUCCUGCUCCUUUGAAUGAAAGGCUGCUCUGACUAAAGGAGCUAGAAUAUGCCCAGCAACCAAGGCCGGGUACUAUUGAGUCCAUUGUUUGCUCCCAGCACUGUGGAGCCAAAUCUCAUUUUAUAGCACAGUGUGUUCUAGGAAUUCCACUUCAUCAGUACAACAGACCUUCUCUAAUGCCUUCCUAUUUUCCCCAUUUGCUGCUGUCACAGGCAGCGCCACACAGUCCUGUGGCAGGCAAUUAUAAUUCACUUUUCUCCAAGGCUCUGCUCUCCCCCUUUUGCAAGGGACCACAAGGCAUCAGCUGCCAUAUUAAAUAGACGCUAAUGACACCAAGUGUGAGCCGCCAGAGCUGUGGUUGUGAUGGUGUGUUUAAGAUUUAAUCCCUUUGAGGGACUGAACCUGGAGUUCAGAGGUGGUUUCACUGAGGUUUAUAAGAAAUUUGGCUAAGAUUAUACUUAAUGGAUUUUCAAGUACUGAAAGGUAUUUGUGUUUAAAGUGAAUAUGUUAAUAAAACUUUCCAAACACAGUCACAAAAAAUAGAUCUGAUACAAAAUUAUGUAACGUAUUAUUCAAAGUAAUAUAGUUGUCUAAUAAUAAUAUAUUGUAUGUGCAUAUGUGCUGUAUGUACUCAUUUUCCCUCUAUAGUUUUCUAAGCGGUUUGCUUUUUUCUAAAUGGAGAAGUGUCCUUUGGUGACUCACAAAGAUUCACAAUGAGCGAAUGCUCCCUAGAGCAGGGCCAACUCCUCUUGGGCCCUUGUCUUGCUAGAAGAUGCUUUUCUCCUGGAGACAGGAUCGCCAUCAUUAGUAACUUAUCCCUACACCCAAUCCACAAAAGAUUUUACUCUUUAAAAUUUUCCAGCAUAUUUUGGCAAUGGUGGAAUGACAACGUAUUCAUUUUUGUCCCAUCUGGCAACAUUUUGGCACCUCUUAUGAAAUUAUUUUCUAUUGGAUUUGUAAAAGUGCCCCAUUAGUAACACUUCCUGUAAGUGUAAAUAGGCUUUUCCAUAGCUGUCCCUUCACCGAAAUAGAUCGGUUUUGAACCUUCCUGCCAGUACAGAGGAUGUGGCCUGAUGCUCCCUCACAAGACGGUGGCUGUCUCACCUUCAUACUGCCCGGGCCGCUUAACUAAAUUGCUCCAUGGCCUUGUGUAGCUAUGCUGAAGGAUGGAGAAGAGCGUCCCUUUAAUGAACCCGGAGUAUUUCAUUUAUUAGCAAAUCAUCAGUUGACCCAGAAAGUGGCCAGGUAAUUAGUGUAAAGUUUUGCAGAGCUUUUUUAUAUGCACCAUCUCAUUUCAUUCCCAUAGACCUCUGUGGCACCUGCCUUUACCCUGGCUUGGAAAAAUAGAACUUCUCCCCUUGACUAAAAAGACUUAGUCUGUGUAAAGUUAUGUGUUUUAUCACUUUACCCAAAUAUUGUUCUUUGUAAUUUUCAACUUAACACGCU